rnacentral:lncRNA from 1 species
ACAAAAUGAUAAUACCGCACUUAUGUUUAAUUAGUGACGUUGUGAUUGGUUGAACGCCGUCAUGAUGUGACCCCUAUGGAUCCGCGGGGAUAGGCAAAAUUCAUGUGUGUAUCAUGACUUCACGAUUAAUUAUUAAUAGUGACGUAAUCUAUAAAUAUUAUUGUAUUUCAUUGAUUAUUUUAUUUACAAAAUUUGGCAAGAAAAUUCCCCUGUGGUAUAUACGGUUCACUACAGACCGUUCUAUACUCACCCCUUAUAAGUUUUACUAACCCUCUUUGCGUCCGUAGGGGGUAAUCAACACACCUGUAACUUAUGAUAUAAUGCCUCGUUCAAUACUUUAAUUUAUUUUAAACAGACACAUAAUUUUUCUGUUUGUUAUCCAUUGUUGGUCAUUAUUUACUGUCUACAAUAAUUGGGGUUGUUUUUUUUGUUUAUUUCGCGUUUAGCACAUAUUAAGC